rnacentral:misc_RNA from 1 species
GGGUACCACUGUCCUCAGCACAUCAUAUAGUACACUUGCAAUUUGAUAGAUCUUAGCCAUCUCCUCUGGUUUCUUUGUUUGAUGGCCAUCUCUGAUAUUUUCCUCAUAGAAGUUCUGGUAAAAUUUCUGAAUUUCUCUAGGAUCACUUCUGGCAAGUUGAGGUUGAGUUUCUUCUUCUUCCCUUUCAAGUCUAUGUAACAGGUAUGUCUUGAAUUGACGAACGCCGCGUCCACUUGAUGUUGGAUCCAUCCUAUGAGCUUUUUC